rnacentral:tRNA from 1 species
AUUUAAAUAGCUUAAAAUUAGAGCAUAAUAUUGAAGCUAUUAAAGUGAUUGAAUUAAUCUUUAAAUA